CCCGGGCUGGUGUGAACGUGCACAAGGGAGCAGGUGCUCCUGAGUGGAGUGGGCAUGAGAUGCGAGGCCAGGGAUAAAGUCAGGAAGUUGGGAAGAUUCUGGACGGGGAGCAGGGCCUUGUGGGCCACGGAUGAGGAACCACAGAGCCAUUGUAACCUCAUCAUGUCACACACGAGGAUCGAGGAUCGGGAGGCCCAAAGUCACGGGGUCAGCAAGUGGCAGAGGGAGGGUGUGCCUGCAAGCCCAUAGACAUCCAGACUUGGGAUUUUUCUACUGCAACUGACUUUCCCUAACGUCAGGCAUCCCCGAGUUACUUUCAUGACCCUUAUCAUUUGCAUUAUACUAUCUCUUCUCUUUAUUAAAUUUCUUCUUUAAAUCUA